rnacentral:rRNA from 1 species
CGAACUUUAAAUAAGUAGGAAAAAAGAAAUGUUUAGAAUUUAAUUUCUUUUGAUUAAUAUUUUUUUUGUUAGUGGGCAGGUUGUGGUAAGCAUGACAUGCGAUGCGGGAUGCUCCGAAAAGUUUUGUUAAAAGUGUUAAAUUUUUUAUAAAUAAUUUGGGUCAACUAGAUACCAAAAAGAAUGUAAAUAAAUGAAGACAGCCCGAAAGUGGCCAUGGAAGUCGGUAUCUUCUAAGGAGUGUGUAACAACUCACGGGGCCGAAUUUAUUUGUUUCGAAAAUGGAUAACGCUAAACCCAAAAACUUAUACAAAACAAAGAAAAUAAUUAUUUCUUUUAAUAUUUUCUUUUGUAGGAAGUAUGUGUUGGAAAAUUUGAAGUUUUUUUUAAAUUUGAAUUUUAAAAUUGAUUUUCCAAUAGUACAGAUCUUGAUGGUAGUAGCAAGUACAAAAAUUAAAAUUUUUUUGAACUGAAGUGGAGAAGGGUCCCUUAACAACUGAAUUAGAUUAAGGUAAGUCGAUCCU